rnacentral:rRNA from 1 species
GUGAGGAAUAUUGGUCAAUGGGCGCAAGCCUGAACCAGCCAUCCCGCGUGCAGGAAGACGGCGCUAUGCGUUGUAAACUGCUUUUCCAGGGAGAGAAACUUGCGCACGUGUUGCGCAAUUGACGGUACCCUGGGAAUAAGCAUCGGCUAACUCCGUGCCAGCAGCCGCGGUAAUACGGAGGAUGCGAGCGUUAUCCGGAUUCAUUGGGUUUAAAGGGUGCGUAGGCGGACUAUUAAGUCAGUGGUGAAAUCCUGCAGCUUAACUGCAGAACUGCCAUUGAUACUGAUAGCAUUGAGUUUGGUUAAGGUAGGCGGAAUGUGUAAUGUAGCGGUGAAAUGCUUAGAUAUUACACAGAACACCAAUUGCGUAGGCAGCUUACUGAGCCGACACUGACGCUGAGGCACGAAAGCGUGGGGAUCGAACAGGAUUAGAUACCCUAGUAGUCC